rnacentral:lncRNA from 1 species
CAAUGUUGUUGUGAUCGACGAAGCCCAUGAAAGAUGAUUAAGUACUGAUGUGUUAUUCGGGAUACUUAAAAAAGUGGUUGCAAGACGUCGAGACUUUAUGCUUAUUGUUACUUCUGCCACCCUCAACGGUCAUAAAUUUUCCAACUUCUUUGGGAGGUGAAGGGUCUGAAAAAGGUCCGGAAAAUUAGGUUGCAUCGGUUAAACACUAAAGAUUCGGCUAACCUCGUGUGGGCCAGAUUUUGAUAUUGUAAGGAAAGCAAUACGUUCGGAUCAUUUUCAUAAUGUUGCAAGACUAAAAGGGGUGGGAGAAUAUGUGAAUUGUAGGAAAGGAAUGUCGUGCCAUAUGCACCCGAGCUCGGCUCUUUAUGGGUUGAGGGACAUGUCGGCUUAUGUGGUGAACCAUGAGCUUAUACCAACGACAAAAGAAUACCUGCAAUGUGUGACUUCUGUUGAGCCAUAGUGGUUAGCUGA